UACAGAGGUGGCAAGCGUUGUUCGGAAUUACUGGGCGUAAAGGGCGCGUAGGCGGUCUUCUAAGUCCUGUGUGAAAUCCCUCGGCUCAACUGAGGAACUGCACGGGAUACUGGAUGACUUGAGUUCGGGAGAGGGAAGCGGAAUUCCGGGUGUAGCGGUGAAAUGCGUAGAUAUCCGGAGGGACACCGGUGGCGAAGGCGGCUUCCUGGACCGAUUACUGACGCUGAGGCGCGAAAGCUAGGGGAGCAAACGGG
rnacentral:rRNA from 1 species